rnacentral:lncRNA from 1 species
GAGGUUAUUGACUGCUGCAUUACGCCUGAAAAACCGCCUGUGAAACUGCACCACGAGUGCUUGGGAAUACGGAAACUCUGCAGAGAUGCAGGUAAUUCAGCUGGGGAAGAAGAAGAAUGGUGGUUAUCAAGCAGAAAUCUUCGGAAUGAGAGCAAGCUUUGCCCCAGCUGGAGGCUGACAGGCCAGAUGUUGGCCAUAAGGAACCAGAAAGCAUCCGAAGAGCUGGACCAGGAGCUGUAGCAUCUCUGAGUCUACCUGGGAGGAAGGGGGAGAUGCAACCCCAUGCCUGGAGCUUCAGGGGACACUGCAGUAGCUGAAAGGCAGCAGGAGCUUCCCAGGGGAUCUGGCAUUGUGGAGGAACACCACUGGCACAGCCCUGCAGCAGUGCUAUGGGACUGGUAAAGGAGCUGCUGUUGCCCAGUCCUUUUCUGUCUGCCUACCUCAAUAAAUGCUGCAGUUCAAACCACUCAGAUCAAAAACUCCAGUGCUAAGACCUGUGGCUCCCAGAAACCCCCCAGACUCAUUUUGAAUCAUAGAAUAAAAUCACAGAACAUAAAAUCGUUCCAUAGAAUUGUUCCAUAAAAUCAUAUGGAUAUAAUGGAUAUUAUGGAUAUAAUCCAUGAAGUCUGUUGAAUCAGAAGAGAGCAGAUAGGUUGCAAAUUUUCACGUUGCUGUUGUUUCUCCUGUGUCAGGCUUUGUUUUCUUUCACUGUUCCAGCUAUUUUGAGGGUGCAUUUCCAGCUCAUCAGCAGGCAGAUUUUUGCUGAAGAGCUUCUCCGACGAGCAGAUACGGAGAUGCAGCAUCCCCUCCCUGUGUGCUGAGAAACUCGAAACCACCAGUGUGGUGCUGGAACCUCAGAGAGACACCUCCCACUGCGGCCCUGCAGGAGGACCUGUGAGGGUGGGCGUUGAUUAUCGUGCAAUAAACCCCACUGCCUGUCUUAGACCCCUGGGAAGGAUGGGCCUCCAUGAGCGUGUUUCUGCAUGGCGUUGGGAGCAGGGUGUGCCCUUGGAAGGAGCUGCCCAUCACACUCACCUUUGUGGGGUGGCCGAGCAGAACUCGAGCAGAUCCUGGGGUCUGAACAGCGCUGUGGGGCCGGCGUCUGGCAGUUACAGUGGUCCACUGGCUGUGACUCGGGUUGCCAAGCUUAGAAGAAAGAUACCCUGACUCAGCUGUUCAGACCUCAAAGGCCAGUGGAGAACCUUGCACAACACGGUGUAGUGAAUUUAAGCCUAUCUUCCCCAAAUACAUCUUUCAUGUAAUAAUUGAGUGUAAUAAUGUAAUUAUGGAGUGUAAUAAUGUAAUAAUUGGAGUGUAAUAAUUAAAACAUGAUACUCCAUUUUUGCAGAUGUGUAUGCAAAACAUAUUUCACCCUCACUAAGCAAAAGAACUCUGUAUUUGUAUGCUGCUCUUUUGCUGACUCCUUGAUCACUCUGAUUUUGCUGUGCUCACAGGGUGUGUUAGGUGAAUGCUGUGCCAUUUUGGGGACCUGAAGCCAUACAGGCAAUUUAUAUGAAGUGUCUCUUUCUCUGCAGAAAUUUAGUGUGCAAGGAAUUCCUGGAGGGUAUCUGGCUCACAUAAAAGAGCUUGUCGGACCAAACCCAACACCCUAAUUGAUUAUUUUCAGCAGACAGUACUGUGCACGUACAUAGCCCUACCCACUAAGCAAUAUCCUUGGCCUGAAACACCGGAUUAAAUUUUUGCAGCAUAACAAACUGCUAAAGCCUCCAUCUGUA